rnacentral:rRNA from 1 species
GAUGAACGCUAGCUACAGGCUUAACACAUGCAAGUCGAGGGGUAACAAGAGAAAAGCUUGCUUUUCUUGUUGACGACCGGCGCAGGGGUGAGUAACGCGUAUCCAACCUGCCUAUAACUAGGGAAUAACCUUGCGAAAGUAAGACUAAUGCCCUAUGACUUCCUUUGGCGGCAUCAAAAAAGGAAUAAAGAUUUAUCGGUUAUAGAUGGGGAUGCGUCUGAUUAGCUUGUUGGCGGGGUAACGGCCCACCAAGGCAACGAUCAGUAGGGGUUCUGAGAGUAAGGUCCCCCACAUUGGAACUGAGACACGGUCCAAACUCCUACGGGAGGCAGCAGUGAGGAAUAUUGGUCAAUGGGCGGAAGCCUGAACCAGCCAAGUAGCGUGCAGGAUGACGGCCCUAUGGGUUGUAAACUGCUUUUAUACAGGGAUAAAGUUAGCCACGUGUGGUUAUUUGCAGGUACUGUAUGAAUAAGGACCGGCUAAUUCCGUGCCAGCCGCCGCAGUAAUAC